CGCUGGAAUGUUUAAACUAUGCGUGGUUGCCUCGUGGCUAAUGUCGGGUGAUACCAAACAGCACGAGCUGGCAGGCUCGGAUCAUAUAUCUCAUCUGACGCCAACAAACACAUAUACCUGGAUAUACAUACAUUUGCAAAUAUAUGUAAUAAUUUGCUAGGUUUCAAUUACCUCGUGAACCAUGUAGGUUGUUCCGAAACGAUGGCAUUCGACAACAAUUUUCUGUCUUUCUUCUUGACCUCUCUUGCAAUCAGGGGCUGAUCCAGUAACUCAGCCACGGUAGCCGCUUCUCCAGGGCGUAAACCUAGUUGAAUUGCUGCUGGUCAACGGCAAGAAGAAUACGACCAACCCAAAAAUAAUGGCAGACUCAGCACAGCAAUGUUAUUACUCCUAGCGUUGGAUAUUCCCAGUCGCCCCAUGGUGCUGUAUAAAUACUUCUCCGUAGGUGUGCACUUGAUGCGGAAUCGCUCGUUAUAAACAAGCAAAGCUCAAGUUCAACAUAACUAGUUUUCAAAGAUUUGGUGCUAUUAUUAACGAACAAACAUACUAUUUUGCCUGUUGCUUUUUCCAAAUUUGGGAAGAUCCCGUUUUGAGAAAAAAGAAAAGAUAGAAGA
rnacentral:sRNA from 2 species